CGUCUAGGUGGUUUGAUAAGUCUGAUGUAGAAAAUGCGGGGCUCAACUCCGUAUUGCGUUGGAAACUGUCAAACUAGAGUAUCGGAGAGGUGGGCGGAACUACAAGUGUAGAGGUGAAAUUCGUAGAUAUUUGUAGGAAUGCCGAUAGAGAAGUCAGCACACUGGACGAAUACUGACACUGAAGCGCGAAAGCAUGGGGAGCAAACA
rnacentral:rRNA from 1 species